UUAACUGAUUUAACAUCAAUUUACUUGUAAGCUCAGAUCAAUGAAAACAAAGCUUAAUGUUUUUUACUUUUUAAAAUAUUGUUUAAGGUUUGAGGCUGGAGCUAGUGGUUGAUUGGGUUUAUUUAUCCACCUUUACCGUGGUUUAACAUUAAAGUGGCUGCAAAAAAACAUGUUCCAACAGGCAGACGUGCAUCUUUCAAGUGUCAUCUUCUCUCUGUAACUGCUACUUGUUGUAUAUGAUACUGUUUUUCCUCUAAAAGUCAAUUUACCUUGUCAUCCUUUUGUAAUCUCUCCUCUCAGGCACCUCAAAACUAAGGCAAACAGAAGAAAAGAGUAUGCUCCUGAGAUAUCGGGGCUGUUCCCCUCCCUUAAGGAUCCAUAUACCAAGGGAGGCUAUAAACAUUUCUAUGAUGCUGCAAGCAGCACAGGAUGCAUUUCUUGGCAUCUGAAAACAGUCAAGACGAGGAUCAGCAUCCCCAUCUUGCACUGGCUGUUUGGAGGAACAUUUCCACAACCAGCCUGAUCGGCAGCCAUACCUCCUCACUGAUGGGCGUCACAAGAGCAAGACUGACAACUUCUACAUCAACCAUCUCAUCCCAUGCCAAGCAAAAUUCAUACAAUAUUUAAGAUAAGUACAGUAUACCUUAAUUCACAAUGUUUUAAUUAUCUGUAUAAAUGACUGUGAGUUUGAAAAGUGAAA